UACGAAGGGGGCUAGCGUUGCUCGGAAUCACUGGGCGUAAAGCGCACGUAGGCGGAUUGUUAAGUCAGGGGUGAAAUCCUGGAGCUCAACUCCAGAACUGCCUUUGAUACUACUGGUCUUGAAUAUUGUUGAGGUGGGCUGAAUGUGUCAUGUAGCGGUGAAAUGCAUAGAUAUGACACAGAACACCGAUUGCGAAGGCAGCUCACUGGGCAAUGAUUGACGCUGAGGCACGAAAGCGUGGGGAUCAAACAGG
rnacentral:rRNA from 1 species